AACGAACGCUGGCGGCGGGGCUUAGGCAUGCAAGUCGCGCGAGAAAGCCGCAAGGCGAGUACAGCGGCGUAAGGGUGAGUAAUAGUAGUCAACGUACCUUGCAGACGCGGAUAAUUCUCCGAAGGGUUGUAUCGCGAUGNGACCNCGGGUUCUUCGGGACUUGGGGUCAAAGGUGGGGAUCCUUCGGGACCUCGCGCUGUGGGAGCGGACGACCUCCGAUUAGCUAGUUGGC
rnacentral:rRNA from 1 species